rfam:Legionella feeleii strain WO-44C Lfee_ctg072, whole genome shotgun sequence.
AAGAGCCGUGUGUGGGAAAACCACAAGCACGGUUCCGUGGGGGGUGCUGUGAUGGUAAACACUAAUAUUUUAGAGGAGUAACUAUUAUGGCUUCUACCCGAC